CUUUGAUGCAUCAAGGUAACUUACAUUUCUAAUGGUGAAACUCUUUUAAUCUAAACAAAAUGACGAUGGGCUAAUUUCUAACAAGUGAACAAAUUCAAUCUGAAUGCAAGAAGGGAAUUCUCAUCAGAUCAUCAUUGGUCACAAGUAAUUUCUUGUGAGACUAUUGUGGUUAGCUUCUACUUUUUGUUAACUAUUUAGAUUGAAAACUCCUUAAGAUUUGAGGCUGAAAAUCUCUAAAUUGGUAUUGUUGAUGCGAUGGAAAGACAACUAGAGGAAUUUCAAGGGAAAUUGACAAACACUCAAUUGAUAAGGGCAGGAGGGUACUUUGUCUAGGCUGCCCAACCAGUUUACAAAUGUGAGGAAGUUUUAGAAGAACAAUGGGAAGGUAUGAUUCAAUUUGGUUUCUGUUAGGAACAACCAGAAGAAAGGAAGGAGAAGUUGAAGUCAUCCAAGCUAUUGGCAAUCUUUUGCUUGUGGAUUAAGAACCCAUCGUUCUACAAGUUCUCAUCUUUUAUGUCUAUUUUACUCGUUAAGCAGACAAUCUUUUUGUUAACGACAUCAUUUUAUCCUCCAAUGCGAUCCUGGGACCUCGCCACAACACCAAAGAAUCUUUUUUGUAGAUAUUUGGAUGGAGAAUUCAAGUCUGGUAAUGAUCAUAAGUAAAGUUGAUCAUUUAAUUCACUCUAAAUUUUAUAUUCUUUUCCUUUUCAUUAUUGUCUGUAAUUCACUAAAUAUAAAUUAUAUAUAUGACUAC